rnacentral:rRNA from 1 species
UAGGGAAUCUUCGGCAAUGGACGAAAGUCUGACCGAGCAACGCCGCGUGAGUGAAGAAGGUUUUCGGAUCGUAAAACUCUGUUGGUAGAGAAGAACGUUGGUGAGAGUGGAAAGCUCAUCAAGUGACGGUAACUACCUAGAAAGGGACGGCUAACUACGUGCUAG